GGCAGGAAGGAGGCAGAGUGCCCAGUGCUGGCUGCACAUGACCACCACAGCUCUGUGCAGACCUUCUGCCUUCUCCUGCCCAGUCCAGCCUUUGCCUGCAUACAGUCAACUCCGCAGGCUUAGUAAUGGAGGGUCAGAAGUGAGGUUGAAGAGAAAACAAGGAGUGGAGUCGGAGCAAUUGAAAGAGGACUUAUCUGAGGCAAGAAGAAAGGAGAACAAACUGAAGCAAGGCUGAGAGUCCUUUCCUGGAGCUUGCAGGACUUUUCGUCUUGGGCUGUCAGUCAGCUGUCAGCCCUCACUACAUCAGCAAAAGGCACACCACCACACUGUCAGUGCAGCAGCCGAUGAGCCUCUGCUAAGGACUGUCAAUCAAGCUCGC